AUUGAACGCUGGCGGCAGGCCUAACACAUGCAAGUCGAGCGAGCGGCGGACGGGUGAGUAAUGUAUGGGGACUGCCCGAUAGAGGGGGAUAACUACUGGAAACGGUGGCUAAUACCGCAUACUAUCGGAUCGCCCACAGGGGAUUGGCGGGUAGGGUGGGUAAAGGCGCACCAAGGCGACGCUCGCUAGCUGGUCUGAGAGGGUGAUCGGCACCACUGGGACUGAGACACGGCCCAGAAUCCUACGGAGGCAGCAGUGGGGAAUAUUUCACAAUGGGCGCAAGCCGGAUUCAGCCAUGCCGCGUGUAUGAAGAAGGCCUUAGGGUUGUAAAGUACUUUCAGCGGGGAGGCGUUACCCGCAGAAGAAGCACCGGCUAACUCCGUGCCAGCAGCCGCGGUAAUAC
rnacentral:rRNA from 1 species